GCUCUCCUACUGUGCUUUUUUAAGGGUCUCCUACUAUAGGUCAGGCACUGUGCUUAGAGGCUAGGAAGACAAUGUCAACAACCGAACCCCUUGGAAAUCACAGACUAUCAUGGCAGAGAGAUGACAAGCACACAGUCACACAAAGCAAUUAUUUAACUAAUUUUUAAAUGCUAAAGGGAUCUUGAAAUUCAAAGAAAAUAGCUUUCCAUUUUAUAUUUGUAAAUCAGAAUACAUGUCUUUUCUUUCCCUCCAAAAAUAAAAUAGUUAUAACAUGAACUAAAGAAUGCCGUGCUUCCCUCUUCAGAGAAACUUGCGUAAGGCAUCUAGCAGAAAAUAGUUAUCCCAAAUCUCUAGCUUAGAAAUGACCUCUUGAUAAUCCAAAGCUUAAGAAAUUCUAUAACAAGUUGGCGGGGGGGUGAUAGCUGGGUAGGCACUGGACUUUCUUCCUCUGCAUUUUUAGUAAAAUAUCCUUCUCCAAUAUUGGCCCCAGAAUUGGCCUGUGGAACCAGAGGCAAAACACUUGAUUCUUUUGGAAGACUUAAUGGGAGAGGGUCUGUAGUGAUUUUGGUUUGUACAGGGUCCUUCACUGUGCUGGCAUAGAGAAGCUGGCUAUCUCCUCUCCACCAGAAACUCUUGAGUUCAGAAACCAAAUCGCAUACUUUGAUAUUCACUCUGAAGCUGAGAUAAAGCUUUAGGUUCACAUACUAGGGAACAGGGCA